rnacentral:rRNA from 1 species
GACCUACGGGAGGCAGCAGUGGGGAAUAUUGCACAAUGGGGGAAACCCUGAUGCAGCGACGCCGCGUGAGUGAGGAAGUAUUUCGGUAUGUAAAGCUCUAUCAGCAGGGAAGAAAAUGACGGCACCUGACUAAGAAGCCCCGGCUAACUACGUGCCAGCAGCCGCGGUAAUACGUAGGGGGCAAGCGUUAUCCGGAUUUACUGGGUGUAAAGGGAGCGUAGGUGGCAGGGCAAGUCAGAUGUGAAAACCCGGGGCUCAACUCCGGGAGUGCAUUUGAAACUGUCCAGCUAGAGUGCAGGAGAGGU